rnacentral:rRNA from 1 species
AGUGAACGCUGGCGGUAGGCCUAACACAUGCAAGUCGAACGGCAGCACAGUAAGAGCUUGCUCUUACGGGUGGCGAGUGGCGGACGGGUGAGGAAUACAUCGGAAUCUACUUUUUCGUGGGGGAUAACGUAGGGAAACUUACGCUAAUACCGCAUACGACCUACGGGUGAAAGCAGGGGAUCUUCGGACCUUGCGCGAUUGAAUGAGCCGAUGUCGGAUUAGCUAGUCGGCGGGGUAAAGGCCCACCAAGGCGACGAUCCGUAGCUGGUCUGAGAGGAUGAUCAGCCACACUGGAACUGAGACACGGUCCAGACUCCUACGGGAGGCAGCAGUGGGGAAUAUUGGACAAUGGGCGCAAGCCUGAUCCAGCCAUACCGCGUGGGUGAAGAAGGCCUUCGGGUUGUAAAGCCCUUUUGUUGGGAAAGAAAAGCAGCAGGUUAAUACCCCGCUGUUCUGACGGUACCCAAAGAAUAAGCACCGGCUAACUUCGUGC